rnacentral:lncRNA from 1 species
AAAAAGGCUUUUUUUUGUUAUUCACAAGAAGUGGCGCACAGACGAGAGAAAUAACUUUGACGAGGAAAUUUGUUUUCUUGUCUAAUUACUAUUGCUUCGAAGUUUUUGAGAAAAAUUUCGGCAUAAGUUUUUCAUCCAAUUUAUUCGUGGGUUUUAUUGAUCAAAUGGUUGAUAGGAAGGGACGGUUUCGGUGUGAAUACACAUAAAGUUUGUGCACUAUCGAAGAAUUUGAUACGAGACUUUCUUUACCAGGUACGUCUUAGAUCCGAUCUAUUGACAUGUAAAUAAAUUUUAAACACAAAAAGAUUUGCCUAGGAUUGUUAUAAUUGUCUUACGCUGCGUGUUACGAACACAUAUACGCAAUCCUUCACAUGCCGUGUAAACAACUUUUUCAUUAUUGUUCAAUAAAUGUGUUUGCAAUAAAUUUGGGCAUAAAAAUAAGACUGCCACGAAAAACAACUAUAAAGAAAAAAAAGAUUUUAUUGAUAAUUAAUAUUGUGGGUUACAACUCUGUUUAUCCCUCGAUUCUUUCCUCUGAUUUUUUAUUCGCAAUUCGAGUGCUGGAGCAAUGUAUUUCUUGAACUAAGAUACAUAGGAUAUAUUUGAUCUCCAAAAAAUUAUGUUGUGGAUCUUUUUAAAGUAUUUGAUUAUCAAAAGUAUCCGAACCAUAUCUUGAUUUCUUUGUGAGUAUCCCGUGAGUUUAUGAGAUAUUCGAAAUAAUUUCCAUUUUUUUGAGAUGUUUUCAAAGAGAAUAUGUAACUCUCUUUAUAAGAGUAACCUAGGGUUAGUAUAAAAUAGCCUUCAAUUUUGAGUUUUUGUAGAUUAGACUACAUGCAACUCUAAUAAACUUUUAGAAUUGCAAGAGUCCUCUGGUACUAUCUUGAAUUAAAUUUAGUUUUAUCCAUUAAAAUUUCAAAUGUUUAUAAAAUGUUUAUGGUAUCAAAAUGUUGUCAAAAGAAUAUCUAACAAACUGAACACUAGUGGUAUUAUCAUGUUAUUUGUCUUCAAGAUUUUAUUUUUAUUUUUCAGUUGUAGUUUCUUUGCCAAUUAACAACUAGAAAUAUAAUUCUCGUCCUCCCAAUUCCUUUAAUCGAGGCCAUUGUAUCUUAGUAAUUAGUAGUACUUCAUGAACAGAGAUCCCGAGAUCCAGAAUCUAGGGAUUCUAAUUUAGUGAACCGUAUUUUCUUUUAGCAUUCCCUUUGUACUGAUUUUGUCAAACCUAAGAAUAUUUUUUGUGUAUCCAAUAUAUUGUAAAAUCCAGGGAGCCCAUGGAGCUCCUUUUCUAGCUAUUUAUUAUCGACCUCUCCCCCUAUUUAUUAUCAAACUUUCUAUUUCCUUAACUAAUACUACAAAAUAUAUAUACAUUCAAAUAUGAUAAUUCAAUUUCUAUAUUUUAAUAUAUAGAACAAUUAUUAAUGUAUAUGCUAUUAUGGAGUAUACCUUUUGGCACUUUCAUGGAUAUUUCAUCCAACUCAUCUUUUAUCCUUACAGUAAAAGAGCAGCCCGGUGCACUAAGCUUUUGCUAUGCACAGGAUCCGAGAAAGAACUGAAUCAUAAGGGCCUAUCAUACACAAUCUUACCCUGACAGUACGCAUAAAUUUUUAUCCUCACAUUAGGCAAAAUUUUUUUUUUACUCUUAUUUAAAAAUAUAAUUUUCGCAUUUUUUACUUUUUACGUGUGUUUCGACAUAAUUGAAAGCUUCCCAAUCCCAUGUGAUUAGAUUACAUAUCUAUUUGCAUUCUAGUCCUAUUAACAUAGUCAUUUGAUUAGUUUACUUAAUUUCAUUUAUACAAAUGAUAGUGUUUGACCAAAAAUAGUUUUUAGUCAAAGUUAGAAUUUAGAAGAACACGGGUUACUGAUAAUCAAAAGAAUAUAUGAAAAUAAUUUAAUUGGAAAUAAGAUAGUCUGGAAUAAAGCAAGUAAAUCAGUACAUUUAGAUAAUAUUUCAUGUCCUUACAAUUGUUUAUUCCUCUCCCUUUGAUAGUUAUUUUCGGAAUAUGAGCCUUACUUUUGUCAUAACAAGACUAUUAUGGGCAACUAAUGACAUUAAAUGCUACGUUACACAAUCAUCACAUUAAAUACAUAUUGUAUAACGUUUUCAGUAUUUACUACCCAUUAAAUACUGUACUUGGACUCUCAUGUGAUGUCAUAUUCAUUCCCUUGAUUCUUCUUGAUUCUUGAACUUUAAAUGUCUUGAAUAGAUACGAGUGUUGUAUUACUUGAAUAACUGCUUGUGCCUCUUCUUCUUCCUUUUCUUGUAUCAGUUGCUGCUCGUGUCUCUUGGCUAAUUAUAAUUCUUUGACCAUAUGAUUGGUCUACGUGUCAUGACACGUCAUCUUUAUAUAUAAAUAUAUUUUUUCCAAUACAGAUAGUCCCCCCACUUUUUAUUUUUCAUCAGUUGAAUAUUUGGGAAGAGGAUUUCAUUAAAAGAGAAUUUUUAUCACCAUUAAUGCUCUGACAAAAGACGUUUCAUUUGUCGAUUCCAUUUAUUGCUCCGCACACGUGUCAUUUUCCCAUUGGUUCUACACUUUUGCAGCACUUUACAAGGCUUUUUUACGGCUCCACUAUUCACGAAGUGUCAGUUCUACACAUAGUCCUUCCAUUACUGCACUUUCACCUUUGGCGGUUGCUUUUAUAUAUAUACCACAUAAAGCUUAUUGAAUAGUUUAACUUUUUAGAUCUUUGUUUACUUACAUUAACCUUCGUCGCCAUGUCUUCUCCAAACCCUAACCCUAUGAGAGUUCCUAUUUUAGAUACUUUCCCCAACGCUCAUGUUAGACAUAGGAGGGGAGGUAGGCUCCGUAGCUUAGGAUCCACGCUUGGUGGUGGUUCAUCUAUGCCCUCUCCUAGUUCGGGUCCUUCCUCUAGAAGUAGAGGUUCCUUUUUCUCAAAUAUACUCUUCUAGGGGUAAAGAACCUUCUGAACUGCUACGCGAACCUUUAGUGGAGGAGUUAGUCCCUAAUGGACUAUCUUUUCACCAUGAUAGACAAUCUCUUUGAAGCCAAGUUUAUGGUUUAGAUCAUGCUGACAAUUCAGUAGUUUCUGGUCAAAUUAGCCCAAUUUUAUAGAUGGUUGUUGCAUGUUUGAGCCACCUGACCAACAUGGCAGAUGUUGGCUUUACUUACCUCACCUAAUUGAUCUCUACUCCUCUAGGCUCUUCCGCAAUGAUGUUUUUACCGUAGUGGCCAGGAGUAAGAGGUUUUAGUGAGCCCACAAGAUGAAAAAGACCGUGGCUGGUAUGCCUGGUUUGUUGCUUCCCCCACUGCUGGUUUAGUGGGUGAAGAGACGUUCCCUUUAUUGAGAAGUGGAACUUUGCACGUAAUUCUUUUAUCCUUCUCGUGCCUUUUUCUUUCAAGUUUUCCAAUUUCUCUAAUUUUGCUUUCUUCUUAUUUUUAACAACCAUGGGAGUUGUGGAGAACAUUUCCAAUUUCCGUAAUUGGGUAGAUAAACUACUGAAGAUCACACCAAUGGAUGGGAGAUCUUGGAAAACACUCUCCAGCCUUCACGGUUGGAAAGUAAAAUCUCAUGGUAUGAACUUUUACCUUCCUCGUAUGUAAAUAUCUUUUGUUAUAGUUUUAACUUUUAUCUUUCUUUUUAUCAGGAUUUGCUAUUCGAGGUGUUACUGCUGAAGCAGUUGCGGCCUCUCAUAUCUCUUCAGGAACCCAUAUUUCUUUAGAAAGAGCCUGAUACAUAGUCUUGGGUUCUUCUUCUAUGAAAAGAAAAACUACUGAAGAAGAAGACUACUGGGAAGAAGACGGAGGUGGCUCCUUGAUGACGAGGCCACGAGCUACGCGACGUAUCGUCUCCGAUGACGAAGCUAAAGUUUCACCUCGUCUUUCUCUCACCGAGCAUGUUGAUACCCCGGUUGUAAUUCUUGAUGAUGAUGACUUCACUCCUCAUGAUACUCGUGAGUCUAUUAGUCAACUUUUUGUUAGCGGUUUUAGUAGUGGAAAUUUAGGGCUUGUUUUAGAUGAACUUCCCUUGUCUUCCUUUUCAACUCCUGUGUCUAUGGUUCCUUAUUUACAUGUUCCAACUGCUACUGUUCCUCCCUCUAUUGUUUUCACUUCUUCUACCACUCCCUCUUUGACAAUUCCCCCAUCUAUCGUUCAUCAUACGGAGGUGGGUGCUUCGAGUAGUAGUGCUGCUAUGCGAAGCAUGACUAUUGAAAUUCCUGCUAACAACAGUCUUUUGAGGAAGUCAGGUUAAGCAGACGUUUGGCUCAACCCUUUAAUAUGCCAAAUUGAGAAAGUGUGUCGACCUGACCCGUCGUCUCGUGUAUUUCCGCCUCGUUUUCCCAGUUUUAUGCUUCUAUAUGUUUCAUUAUAUGUGUUUGGUGAAUUUGAAGUAAUUCGGAUAGAGUUCAGUUAGAAAUGAAAUAAUAGUCUCUUUAAGAGAAGGUUAGUUUGGAAAAGUCAACCGUAUGUUAACUUAUGAGUUGGAGUGCUCGGAAUGGAUUUUCAAUGAUUCGACUAGUUUUGAGUGAUGAUUUAAGGCUUAGGAGAGCAAUCAGAAGUGAAUUUGGAAGCUCAGUGUGGAAAUUAGCCUAUUUUGGCGAAGUUAGGAAUUUGGUGAAAUCCGGUUGGUAGGCAAGAUUUUGAUCCGAGGGUCGGAAUGAAAUUACGAGAAUUGCAGUAGUUUCGUUAGGCAAUCUUGGAUAUGUGUCCAAAAUUUUAGUUGAUUCGGAGGUGUUUAGAUCGGGUUUGGAAGCAAAUGCGAAUUUUGAAGUUUUAGUUUUACGUAAGUCUUGAUCUGAUGGAAACUUGAUGAUUUUGAUGUUAAUGAUAGUGUUUUUAUUCUACGAGCAAGUUUGAAUGAAGUAGUUUGGUUGAAGUCUCGAGGGCCUCAGGGUGAUUUUGGAUGGAUAACGGGGACUUUUGAAUAAGAAAAAUUGCAGCAGAAAAUUGCAAAGAAACUUUACUCUAUGCGAUCGCAUAGGUAUGUCAGUAAUCGCGUAGAAGGCUUUGAGGGGGUCUCAAAAUUUUCCCUAUGCGAUAAUGUGAAGGGGCCUGCGAUCUCAUAGGUCUGGGUGAUUGUUCAGUGCGGUUGCGUGGGUAGCUUUGUGAUCGAGUAGAAGGAUGACGCAGUGCUCCGCGAUCGCAAAGGGUCUUAUGCGAUUGCAUAAGAGGAAUUUAAGGGGUUUGGAUUUUUGUUCUAUGUGAUCGCAAUGGGAUUGAUGGGAUCGCAUAGAGGAAGCUACAGUAGUUGGACAGAAUAUUAAAAUCCCUUUGGUCCGCGACCCACAUCAUUUUUUUCACCAUUUUUACUUCACCAGGAGAGCUUUUUGACCGAUUUGAAGAGGGUUUUCAAGGGGUAUUGAUUGAACGUGAGACUCUUGACUUAGAAACAUCAUUUUAUUUAAGAAUCAACACUCAAAUUUAUGAAAGUGGGUUAUAAUUAUGAAGAACUAAGGCAUGGUUUUUAAAAAUGAAUAUUUGGGAUUUGAAUGGCCAUUUGAGUUCUAAUUUUGGUAAACUUUAUAUGUACAGACUCGUGGCGAGACGAGGAAUCCAAUGAUGUGACUUUCAUAAUUUUUUGAGUAGUGGUCCCGGGACUUGGAUUUUGCCAACUUCGUGAUUUUUAGUGCUUUUCGAGUAUUUUAGAUUGCAUUAUGUUUCUUUAGCAUAUAGUAAUGUAUUCAUCGUGGUUUUGACUAUAUUCGACGUGUGAGGAGGUUGAUUCAAGAGGAAAUGGCAUUGAGAACUAGUCUAUGGUCGGUUUGAGGUGAGUAAUAGAUGUAGAUAAUGACCUGAGGGUUUGAAACUCCGGUAUCUCAUAUUGUGAUGCUGUACUGAGGCGAGACACGUACUUUACUAUGAGUGCGAGGUUGUUUGUGGAUGAGACUAUGGCUUAGUCCGUCUGAGUUAUGUCUAUACUGUGUUAUUAACUAGAACUUGGCUAGUAAACAUCCUACCUGGAUUGUUGUGAGUAUAUUUGGGCUGCAAGCCAACUGCGUGAAUGCCUUAGGGAUUAAUUAUCACUGCUUUCAUGAUAUUGAGAAUUUUUCUAUUAUAUCAAUCCUGAGUUAAAUACUGACUAGAAAUGAAUAGUAAUCUUCUAAGGUUUUUAAUCACUUAAACUAUAAUACCAUUUAAAUGGAACCGAAAAUGGGAAAUUUGAUUGUGCCCAUGUGGCUUCCAUGCAUAUAUAAUUGGACUGAUUGUGGACCGGGCUGCACGCCGCAGCGAAUGCUGCUAUGUCAUUGCUCUUGGGCUGUAGGAGCCCUUCCAAAGUCUGAACCCCUACAGUGAGCGUGAGUACCCAAAUGGAUCGGGUUGUACGCUGCAGCGGUCAUGUGCAUUGCAUUGCAUUCAUGCAUUGACAUAUAUAUAUUUGUCUAUCUUUCGAUGAUUACAGUUGUUUCAUCAUUAAAUGUGCUAAGUGGUUAGUUUCGGCUUUGCAUUGUGGUAUUUCGAGAUUUCUUACUUUCAGUCAUUAUACAUACCUAUUACCGUUGAGUUGGAAGUACUUACUUUACUUCAUGCACCUUGUGUGCACAUUCAGGUGUCCCAGAGACUUAGCUGAGCAGUCGCUGUCUUCCACAGUUUUAUCAGAGUUGUCGAGGUAGAUGCCUAACAUUCAUAGGGCCCGACUUCUCCCCUUUUAUUCAGUUUUAUUUUCUUAUUCUAGACUUAUGUAUUUUUCGAAUAUUUGUUACUCAAUUGUUUAGAGGCUCUAGACUCGUGACCCCAAAUUCAUUUGGGAGUGUUUUGUCGGAUAUUUUGAUUUGUUCCAUAUUAUUUUUAUUAUAAACAUCAGCUUAUUAUUUUUAAAUUGUUAAAUUCCC